CCUACGGGUGGCAGCAGUGAGGAAUAUUGGUCAAUGGACGGAAGUCUGAACCAGCCAUGCCGCGUGCAGGAAGACGGCUCUAUGAGUUGUAAACUGCUUUUGUACAAGGGUAAACCUGAAUACGUGUAUUCAGCUGAAAGUACUGUACGAAUCAGGAUCGGCUAACUCCGUGCCAGCAGCCGCGGUCAUACGGAGGAUUCAAGCGUUAUCCGGAUUUAUUGGGUGUAAAGGGUGCGUAGGCGGAGUGGUAAGUUAGAGGUGAAAUGUCCGAGCUUAACUCCGGAACUGCCUUUAAUACUGUUGAUCUGGAGAGCAGAAGCGGUAGGUGGAAUGUAUGGUGUAGCGGUGAAAUGCUUAGAGAUCA
rnacentral:rRNA from 1 species